GACGAACGCUGGCGGCGUGCUUAACACAUGCAAGUCGAACGGAAAGGCCCUGCUUUUGUGGGGUGCUCGAGUGGCGAACGGGUGAGUAACACGUGAGUAACCUGCCCUUGACUUUGGGAUAACUUCAGGAAACUGGGGCUAAUACCGGAUAGGAGCUCCUGCUGCAUGGUGGGGGUUGGAAAGUUUCGGCGGUUGGGGAUGGACUCGCGGCUUAUCAGCUUGUUGGUGGGGUAGUGGCUUACCAAGGCUUUGACGGGUAGCCGGCCUGAGAGGGUGACCGGCCACAUUGGGACUGAGAUACGGCCCAGACUCCUACGGGAGGCAGCAGUGGGGGAUAUUGCACAAUGGGCGGAAGCCUGAUGCAGGACCGCCGCGUGCGGGAUGACGGCCUUCGGGUUGUAAACCGCUUUCGCCUGUGGCGAAGCGUGAGUGACGGUAAUGGGUAAAGAAGCCCCGGCUAACUACGUG
rnacentral:rRNA from 1 species